rnacentral:rRNA from 1 species
GACGUAGGGCGCGAGCGUUGUCCGGAUUUAUUGGGCGUAAAGAGCUCGUAGGCGGCUUGUUGCGUCGGCUGUGAAAACCCAUGGCUCAACCGUGGGCUUGCAGCCGAUACGGGCAGGCUAGAGUUCGGUAGGGGAGACUGGAAUUCCUGGUGUAGCGGUGAAAUGCGUAGAUAUCAGGAGGAACACCAAUUGCGAAGGCAGCUCGCUGGGACGUAACUGACGCUGAGACGCGAAAGCGUGGGGAGCAAGCAGG